GAUGAACGCUGGCGGCGUGCCUAAUACAUGCAAGCCGAGCGAAUGGAUUAAGAGCUUGCUCUUAUGAAGUUAGCGGCGGACGGGUGAGUAACACGUGGGUAACCUGCCCAUAAGACUGGGAUAACUCCGGGAAACCGGGGCUAAUACCGGAUAACAUUUUGAACAGCAUGGUUCGAAAUUGAAAGGCGGCUUCGGCUGUCACUUAUGGAUGGACCCGCGUCGCAUUAGCUAGUUGGUGAGGUAACGGCUCACAAAGGCAACGAUGCGGAGCCGACCUGAGAGGGUGGUCGGCCACACUGGGACUGAGACACGGCCCAGACUCCUACGGGAGGCAGCAGUAGGGAAUCUUCCGCAAUGGACGAAAGUCUGACGGAGCAAAGCCGCGUGAGUGAUGAAGGCUUUCGGGUCGUAAACUCUGUUGUUAAGGAAGAACAAGUGCUAGUUGAAUAAGCUGGCACCUUGACGGUACCUAACCAGAAAGCCACGGCUAACUACGUGCCAGCCGCCGCGGUAA
rnacentral:rRNA from 1 species